GUCCACAGCUUUUCCUAAGGAAUUUCUUCUGCCACAGUUUUCUGAACCAGAUACAACAUGGCACCUUGCAACCCUUAUUGCUGAGUCUCUGGACACCACAGAAGGAAUAAAUACAUGCUAGGAAUGGGAGAUAGAAAAAUAAAGGAUUAAACAAUCCCUGCCUGCAAGAAUAUGAGAGACUUUAAUGCUUUGCCAAAAUCUGGGAUUCCUAAGAGUUAGAGUGACAUCAUGGAAAACCUCAUCUGCUCCCUUUGUGUCCUUCUCAGAGACCAAAUGCUAAACUGGAUGGAUCAUAAGGCUUAUUUUUUCCUUUGAAAAGUUGGACCCAGUCACUGCUGCCAGCAAGGGAGCGGGGAAGUAUGAAUUUCAAGUCAUAGUUCUUUGGUCACAAAUUCAUUUGUAUUGAU
rnacentral:lncRNA from 1 species